rnacentral:rRNA from 1 species
UACAGAGGGUGCUAGCGUUGUUCGGAUUUACUGGGCGUAAAGGGCGCGUAGGCGGCGUGGUAAGUCAGCUGUGAAAUCUCCGAGCUUAACUCGGAACGGUCAGCUGAUACUGCUGUGCUAGAGUACAGAAAGGGCAAUCGGAAUUCUUGGUGUAGCGGUGAAAUGCGUAGAUAUCAAGAGGAACACCUGAGGCGAAGGCGGGUUGCUAGGCUGAUACUGACGCUGAGUGCGCGAAAGCUAGGGUAGCAAACGGG